CAGAGGUCCCAAGCGUUGUUCGGAUUCACUGGGCGUAAAGGGUGCGUAGGUGGUAAGGCAAGUCAGGUGUGAAAUCUCCGGGCUCAACCCGGAAAUGGCAUUCGAAACUACCUUGCUAGAGGGUUUGAGGGGGGGACUGGAAUACUUGGUGUAGCAGUGAAAUGCGUAGAUAUCAAGUGGAACACCAGUGGCGAAGGCGGGUCCCUGGAAGACUCCUGACACUGAGGCACGAAAGCUAGGGGAGCAAACAGGAUUAGAUACCCUGGUAGUCCUAGCCCUAAACGGUGCUUGCUUGCUGUAAGAGGAAUCGACCCCUCUUGUGGCGGAGCUAACGCGUUAAGCAAGCCGCCUGGGAAGUACGGUCGCAAGAUUA
rnacentral:rRNA from 1 species